rnacentral:lncRNA from 1 species
AUGGGCAGGGACUUUAGAGACCACCAGUUGGCUCGUGUGUCGGAGGGCCGCCGAGGGCAGGCGUCUCUCCGAAAGGCCCCCAGCCAGUUAGCGACAGGGAGAGAGGAGAGAGGAGGAGAGACGCAGAUCCGGCUCUGGACAGAGUUGUGCGGACGGCAAAGUCCUGCUGCCCCCCAAGAGCCCCCGUUCCCGGACAUUUAUGGUGGUGAUGCCCAGCUCUGGGAGGCUCACUUCCGUGGCAUUGGUCGGGCUUACCGGGCCCUGGGCAAGGAGGAUGACUUCGCCAUCCGGGUGCUGACUGAGGACUUUACACUGCCCUUCCCUUACGCCUGGCCACCUGGACCUGACCCUGCCCGGGGUCCCCUCUUCUAUGACCCCCAGGACAGGACAGGCUUUGACUUCCUCCUGCGGCCUGGGGCACCCCCACCUGCCUUGCUCCGUCCUCUCCAUGCCACUGCACAAGCCUUCCUACGAAAGCGGCGACUGGAGCAGCUGGCUUUGAGCUAUGCCAGCUCGGGCGGUGGUGCCGCCCCACAUCCUGGAGUGGUCCUCCUGGCCCCAGCCCCGGGGCCCAAUAAAUUCCCUACCCCAGGACUUCCAGAUGGGAAAGGGGCCAGGGCCCCACUGGUCUAAGCCAGAGCAUCGUGUAGCAUGGGCAUUGCCUGUCUCCCUCUAGUGUCUUCUGGAAAAUGAAUAAAUAUUUUUUCUUCCUAUGUGUCCUGGAGCUC